UCCUUUUUUGGAAUGACACUAGUCUUGGCCCACUCUAUAGAAGUAAGAUCUUGCUAGGCUUGUAUCAGCAGAUCUUAGAAAAUUGUGGGUUCAUAUGUGCUAACACAAUAGAAGCUUUGGGUAUUUAUUUCUGUAAGUGAUGAGGAAACAAAUAUCGAACUUGCAUUUUCUGCCUUGGUUGGCUCUUUUUGGUUCUUUACUCUUUUUUGUUUUUUUGUUUUUUUUUGAGACGGAGUCUUGCUCUUUUGCCCUGGCUGGAGUGCAGUGGCAGGAUCUCGUCUCACUGCAAGCUCCGCCUCCCGGGUUCACGCCAUUCUCCUGCCUCACCUCCCGAGUAGCUGGGACUACAGGCGCCCGCCACCGCGCCUGGCUAAUUUUUUGUUUAUGUUUUUUUUAGUAAAGACGGGUUUUCACCGUGUUAGCCAGGAUGGUCUCGAUCUCCUGACCUCGUGAUCCACCAGCCUCGGCCUCCCAAAGUGCUGGGAUUACAGGCCUGAGCCACCGCGCCCGGCCCGUUCUUUACUCUCUUGCUAGAGUACUAGCAAGCUGGGAAUGCCUUGGGUUGUCCCCCAGGAGACUGCAGUCUAUGCAAGGAGGCUUUUCUAAGGGAUAGCAGCGAGUAGCCAUAUCUCUGUCCUGUAGUGAGGAACUCAUCUCUUUGUUCUCCCACUCUUUAUCUUACUUGCCUUCCCUGUCCCUAUAAAUCAUUUCUAGUGUUCUCUCAGACCAUGCUUUCUUUUGGAUGUGGGUGGGAUCCAAUGUGUAAAAUAGGACUACAGCCUUCUAGAGCUGGCAGGAAAGUUAGGCAUGGUGUAGUUGAAAUGCUUCAUUUACAGAUAAAGGAGUGUAAGCCCAGAAAGUAAGGGAUGUGGUUUGAAUCACACAGCUUGUUUAACUACAGAGUUUGGACUAGAAUCCACAUUUCCCCAUGUUCAGUCCAGUGUUCUGUAUUCAACCCCACCUAUGCAAAGACACAAUUUUACAUGCUAUAUGCUCGUGGGAGAAACUUUUUCUUUAGAUAGAUGUUAGCAUUUUUUUUCUUUCUUCUUGACCUUCCUUGCACCUUUCUGACAAAAGUGAAAUGCACAGAAUUUUGCCUCUUUUCACCCAUGAGUUUCCAAAGCGUGUUCUGCUCGUGAGUAGGUCCUCUCCAAGCUAGACCUUGUCUCUUCCAGUGUUUGGUGUCUCCAGGCACCUUGUGGUUUGUGGCUUCAUAACUCCAAUCUCUGCCCUGUUUUGCUUAAGUGGCCUUCUUUCUGUUUCUGUCUCCUCCUCUGU
rnacentral:lncRNA from 1 species